rnacentral:rRNA from 1 species
GACGAACGCUGGCGGCGUGCUUAACACAUGCAAGUCGAACGGUGAAGGGGCCUGCUUUUGUGGGCCCUGGAUGAGUGGCGAACGGGUGAGUAACACGUGAGUAACCUGCCCCCUUCUUCUGGAUAACCGCAUGAAAGUGUGGCUAAUACGGGAUAUUCUGGGUCUGUCGCAUGAUGGGUCUGGGAAAGAUUGCGCCUUUGGGUGUUUUUGGUGGGGGAUGGGCUCGCGGCCUAUCAGCUUGUUGGUGGGGUGAUGGCCUACCAAGGCGGUGACGGGUAGCCGGGCUGGGGGGGUGGAAGGUUACACUUGGACUGGGACACGGCCCAGACUCCUACGGGAGGCAGCAGUGGGGAAUAUUGCACAAUGGGCGCAAGCCUGAUGCAGCGACGCCGCGUGAGGGAUGGAGGCCUUCGGGUUGUAAACCUCUUUCGCCAGUGAAGCAGGCCUGCUCCUUGUGGGUGGGUUGACGGUAGCUGGAUAAGAAGCGCCGGCUAACUACGUG